rnacentral:rRNA from 1 species
GAGUAAUGUCUGGGAAACUGCCUGAUGGAGGGGGAUAACUACUGGAAACGGUAGCUAAUACCGCAUAACGUCGCAAGACCAAAGAGGGGGACCUUCGGGCCUCUUGCCAUCAGAUGUGCCCAGAUGGGAUUAGCUAGUAGGUGGGGUAACGGCUCACCUAGGCGACGAUCCCUAGCUGGUCUGAGAGGAUGACCAGCCACACUGGAACUGAGACACGGUCCAGACUCCUACGGGAGGCAGCAGUGGGGAAUAUUGCACAAUGGGCGCAAGCCUGAUGCAGCCAUGCCGCGUGUGUGAAGAAGGCCUUCGGGUUGUAAAGCACUUUCAGCGGGGAGGAAGGGAGUAAGGUUAAUAACCUUAUUCAUUGACGUUACCCGCAGAAGAAGCACCGGCUAACUCCGUGCCAGCAGCCGCGGUAAUACGGAGGGUGCAAGCGUUAAUCGGAAUUACUGGGCGUAAAGCGCACGCAGGCGGUCUGUCAAGUCGGAUGUGAAAUCCCCGGGCUCAACCUGGGAACUGCAUCCGAAACUGGCAGGCUUGAGUCUCGUAGAGGGAGGUAGAAUUCCAGGUGUAGCGGUGAAAUGCGUAGAGAUCUGGAGGAAUACCGGUGGCGA